rnacentral:lncRNA from 1 species
UUCCUUUGCAGACCGUGUCCAUUGCGCUGUCCAGACAGUGUCCCCAAAUGCCCUAGAGGCUUGUGCUGGACUGGGCCGCCGGCCGGCGACACAGCGCGUGGCAAGCGGUUUGCGCUGGGGCUGGAGGAACCAGCCCCGGCCCGCUCCGCCCGCGCCGCCAGCCCGGUUAGCACACGUGGUGCGGCAGCUGCCAGCGCGCUCCGGUCCCCUCGGCCUCUUGACUUCUGGAGCCAGCACGGCGGCACCUGGGGCUUCGGAACACGUGGGGACAGUCGCCGGAGGCCGGAGACUCUGUACGGCUUGUGAAAUGGAGAGAGUAUUUGUGCUGAUUUUAGAAGAAGCUGAAAAGCCUCAGGAGGCUGGAGAGAAAUCGUGUUUUAAUUUGAUAGCACAACUACAAAACUAAGCAUCAACUUCUCUACCUGCUCUUCUGGAAAGCUAGGUAGAAGCCCAUACAGGCUCUAGAGUGCCCUGCUCCUUCCUAGACCUGUAGCCUACAGCAGUGCUGGCUCUGCUUCUGCCAUCAACAGCGACAAUCACAGCACAAUUACUUUAUCUGGAAAACACACCCCAUUCAAAC